CACGUAGGGCGCAAGCGUUGUCCGGAAUUAUUGGGCGUAAAGAGCUCGUAGGCGGUCUGUUGCGUCCGCUGUGAAAACUCGGGGCUUAACCCCGAGCCUGCAGUGGAUACGGGCAGACUAGAGGUAGGUAGGGGAGAAUGGAAUUCCCGGUGUAGCGGUGAAAUGCGCAGAUAUCGGGAGGAACACCUGCGGUGUAGACAGCUUACUGGACCACUUCUGACGCUGAGACACGAAAGCGUGGGUAGCAAACAGG
rnacentral:rRNA from 1 species